GACGAACGCUGGCGGCGCGCUUAACACAUGCAAGUCGAACGAUGAAGCUGGAGCUUGCUCUGGUGGAUUAGUGGCGAACGGGUGAGUAACACGUGAGUAACCUGCCCUGGACUCUGGGAUAACCCCGAGAAAUCGGAGCUAAUACCGGAUAGGACCUCGGAUCGCAUGAUCUGGGGUGGAAAGUUUUUCGGUCUGGGAUGGACUCGCGGCCUAUCAGCUUGUUGGUGAGGUAAUGGCUCACCAAGGCGUCGACGGGUAGCCGGCCUGAGAGGGUGACCGGCCACACUGGGACUGAGACACGGCCCAGACUCCUACGGGAGGCAGCAGUGGGGAAUAUUGCACAAUGGGCGCAAGCCUGACGCAGCAACGCCGCGUGCGGGAUGACGGCCUUCGGGUUGUAAACCGCUUUUAGUAAGGAAGAAGCCGCAAGGUGACGGUACUUGCAGAAAAAGGACCGGCUAACUACGUGCCAGCAGCCGCGGUAACAC
rnacentral:rRNA from 1 species